UAAGCUCACACAGUCUAUCAGACAAGCAGAAAGAAAGAAUGAUCUGUCAUAAAAUGAAUAACUUUGCCCAGUCCUUGAAUGUUAGCCAAUGUAAAUAAAACAGUUAUGAUUGACAAGCAUUACAAAGUAGCAACGAUGAGCAACACAUUCCAAAGUGUCUUCUUCACUCACUUAUAUUUUUAUUAUUUAAAAGCAAACCGAACGUCCUGUUGACUGUCAAGCCUGGAAGCAUUUUGGCAACAGCCUUCAUCAGGUAUUCUGACAGCAUCGCGAAAUAAUCCAGUAGUUCAGGAUCUCUGUACAUAAGAAUCAGAUUUUGAUUUAUUUGACUUUGACACAAGUGUGUUGUCAGGAGGCAGGACAGACACACGAUGGGUUAAAAGAAAAAGAUCUGGAGGAGCACAGCGAAAACAUCACUAGCAGAGGUCUGACAAACACUAAAUCUGUAGGAUGCCUCCUGCUGUUCUUCUCAUCGGCUGUCUACUCGCCACAAUCAGCUGUUUAACCACAGGUAACAUUCACAUCAGCUACUGCAAUCUGUGUCAGAUUUUGACUGUUUUCAAUACAAAAUUAGAUCCACCAUUGAUUUCAUUAAUUACAAUCACUUUGAGAGACUCUGAGAAGCACUGCACCAUCAGGAAUGAUAAUUCAACAGUACAGAUGAUCUGAUUGUUGAUAUCAAAUGUUUCUUUAAUUCCACAGCUCAAACUGGAAUCGCUCCAUCUGGACUGGCUACAAAUACUACAACUACCACAUCAAUUAUCUCCUUACCUAUUACAAUACCACCUACACCAGCACUGACUACAACAAUGACUACAACUACAACACCGCCUACACCAGCACCAACUACAUCAUCAUCUUCACCAGCACUGGUUACAACUACAACAGCACGAACUUCAACGUCAUUUACACCACCAACUACUACAACUACAGUCCAUCCACCAGCAUCUCGCAUUAACACUGCAGAUCCUACCUUCGAUCCUGCCUUCGACUCCACUACAACUCCUACCUCCAACACCACUGCAGAUCCUACCUUCGAUCCUCCCUUCGACUCCACUACAACUCCUACCUCCAACACCACUACAGCUCCUACCUCCAACACCACUACAGCUCCUACCUCCAACACCACUACAGCUUCUACCUCCAACACCACUGCAGAUCCUCCCUUCGACCCUCCCUUUGACUCCACUACAGCUCCUACCUCCACCCCCACUACAGCUCCUGCCUCCAACACCACUGCAGAUCCUACCUUCGAUCCUCCCGUUGACUCCACUACAGCUCCUACCUCCGACUCCACUACCGCUUCUACCUCCAACACCACUGCAGAUCCUACCUUCGAUCCUCCCUCCGACUCCACUCCAGCUCCUACCUCCGACUCCACUACAGCUUCUACCUCCAACAUCACUGCAGAUCCUACCUUCGAUCCUCCCUUUGACCCCACUACAGCUCCUACCUCCGACUCCACUACAGCUUCUACCUCCAACACCACUACAGCUCCUACCUCCAACCCCACUACAGCUCCUACCUCCAACACCACUGCAGACCCCCCCUCCGAUCCUCCCUUCGACUCCACUACAACUCCUACCUCCAACACCACUACAACUCCUACCUCCAACACCACUACAGCUCCUACCUCCAACCCCACUGCAGACCCUACCUCCGAUCCUCCCUUCGACUCCACUACAGCUCCUCCCUCCACCACCACUACACCCCCUACCUUCGAUCCUCCCUUCGACUCCACUACAACUCCUCCCUCCAACGCCACUACAGCUCCUACCUCCACCCCCACUACAGCUUCUACCUCCAACACCACUGCAGAUCCUCCCUUCGACCCUCCCUUUGACUCCACUACAGCUCCUACCUCCAACUCCACUACAGCUCCUACCUCCAACACCACUACAACUCCUACCUUCGAUCCUCCCUUCGACUCCACUACCGCUCCUACCUCCGACUCCACUACAGCUUCUACCUCCAACAUCACUGCAGAUCCUACCUUCGAUCCUCCCUUUGACUCCACUACAGUUUCUACCUCCAACACCACUGCAGCUCCUACCUUCGAUCCUCCCUUUGACUCCACUACAGUUUCUACCUCCAACACCACUGCAGAUCCUACCUUCGCUCCUCCCUUCGACUCCACUACAGCUCCUACCUCCGCCUCCACUACAGCUUCUACCUCCAACACCACUACCGAUCCUACCUUCGAUCCUCCCUUCGACUCCACUACGGCCCCUACCUCCAACACCCCUACCCCUCCCACCUCCGAUCCGCCCUUCGACUCCACUACAGCUCCUACCUCCAACUCUACUGCAGCUCCACCCAAAGGUAAUUAGGGCCCAAGCAUUGCGAGGUCCGUAUUGAAACUGCUCCAAUUUAUUUAUCAUUGUGUGUGUGUAUAUAAAUGUGUAGGUCAAGCUUUACCAUCACUAUUGCAGCCGAACCUGAAAUCUCUAAAAUGUGUUUUGGCAUUUUCCAUGUUCUCACAGUACUCACUAUUCUCGAGAUGAAGGUGAAGACGCUGAAUGAAGAAGAGCGUCAGGCUGAACUGCUUGAGGUGAGAGGAGCAUGUUUGAUAAUUUCACUACAUGCUAAAUGUACUCUGAUGGAAAUCAACAGUUAUAACUAUGUAGAAGAAAGGAUACCCAUGUUUGGACAAACUAUAAAACAAAUCACUAACAUCAAGUUUCAGCCACAGUCAUUCUACAGUCAAGCUUAUAGUGAGCAGGUGUGGAGUCAUGUUCCUUUAAGGCCCUUUUUUGGCUUAAAUUACUUUUUUUAGCGUUUCUGUUCUGUGCCUGAUUAGAAAUCAUACAUUAUUGCUUGUUGUUCUUAACCAAAAAAUUACAUUCUAUGUGAAUUGGGACACAGCUUUGUGUGCUGCUUCUUCUGAACCUGCUGUUUUCUCACUUAGUCUUUUUUUUUUUCUCAGGUUGGCAAAGUGCUGGAGAGUUUCUUAAGAGCGAAUUAUACUGGCAACUUCUCUGUUAAAGUCACGAAAAUUAAAAAGUUAUCACCAUAGGACUGAGUCGGAAAUCUUUUUUUUUAUUUUUUUUACUUUAAAAAAAGUUUUCUAAAAAACUUUUACUGUUUUAGAUUAUACAUGUUGGCGGUUCAACAAAAUGCAUGUGUCUGUGUAUGUGUGAAACAAAUUAUGAAAUGAAUGUGUAAGGAAAGCCCAGAUUUAUUAUCUGUUCUCAUGAAAUUCAUUGUUCGUUCUUCAUUUGCGUGGAAGGAAAUCCGCUGCUGCUGUUUUGACAUUGUCUUCAUUUUUCUAUUUUUGAGAUUUUUGUAUGAGGAUUGCACUGAAAUUAUGAGGAAGAACUCUUGUGAACUCAGUAAGAAAAUAAAACAAGCAAAUGAUUAAAAUUGUUGGAUAUU
ensembl:lncRNA